rnacentral:lncRNA from 1 species
AAGCGAACGAUAGUGAUACAUUAUUAUUUCUGCAGUAUUCUUCGUGGAGCUGGUUUAGGUAAGAAGGCAUCGUAUUAUUCAGAAAUGUUAUUGGGAAUGUGACAUGGCUAUGUAUUGUCUCAUGUGAUCAGCUCUAGCCUCCAUAAUGACCACUCCAUAGUUGUAGACGUCGCUAAAGUCUCAAUGUGGCAAUAAAAACGAUUGACGAUGAUCUUUUAACUUCCUUGAUGAGUUGUUUUUUGAAUUAUAAGAAGAUGAAUAACAGUAAACAAUAAUCUUUUUUUUUUUU